AGACCCGAAACCCGGUGAUCUAGCCAUGGGCAGGUUGAAGGUUGGGUAACACUAACUGGAGGACCGAACCGACUAAUGUUGAAAAAUUAGCGGAUGACCUGUGGCUGGGGGUGAAAGGCCAAUCAAACCGGGAGAUAGCUGGUUCUCCCCGAAAGCUAUUUAGGUAGCGCCUCGUGAAUUCAUCUCCGGGGGUAGAGCACUGUUUCGGCUAGGGGGCCAUCCCGGCUUACCAACCCGAUGCAAACUGCGAAUACCGGAGAAUGUUAUCACGGGAGACACACGGCGGGUGCUAACGUCCGUCGUGAAGAGGGAAACAACCCAGACCGCCAGCUAAGGUCCCAAAGUCAUGGUUAAGUGGGAAACGAUGUGGGAAGGCCCAGACAGCCAGGAUGUUGGCUUAGAAGCAGCCAUCAUUUAAAGAAAGCGUAAUAGCUCACUGGUCGAGUCGGCCUGCGCGGAAGAUGUAACGGGGCUAAACCAUGCACCGAAGCUGCGGCAGCGACACUCAGGUGUUGUUGGGUAGGGGAGCGUUCUGUAAGCCUGCGAAGGUGUGUCGUGAGGCAUGCUGGAGGUAUCAGAAGUGCGAAUGCUGACAUAAGUAACGAUAAAGCGGGUGAAAAGCCCGCUCGCCGGAAGACCAAGGGUUCCUGUCCAACGUUAAUCGGGGCAGGGUGAGUCGACCCCUAAGGCGAGGCCGAAAGGCGUAGUCGAUGGGAAACGGGUUAAUAUUCCCGUACUUGGUGUUACUGCGAAGGGGGGACGGAGAAGGCU
rnacentral:rRNA from 2 species